rnacentral:misc_RNA from 1 species
AAACUGCGAUAAGUAGCGUGAAUUGCAGACGCUUUGAACGUUAAACUUUCGAACGCACAUUGCGCCGUAGGAGUCCUACCCUACGGCACAUCUGGUUGAGGGUCGUGAUCAAACACAGCCGUAUAGUAGCUGGAAUAUAACCAAUUGGUGAAUCAUGGUUCGGCCCACCCGUACUCGGGCCGUACGUGUUUUGCCAUAGUGCUAUAGAGGAAGACUGAGAACUCUUCAGAGUUUUCGGUUGCCUGCCACUCGGACGGGCUAUCAGCUGAUGCGAUAGAUUCCGGCCUUAGGGUAUCAUACUACGCUUUCGUAUAUACUUUUCGGCGUCUGGAAUACAGCUGGUUGGUUUCGUACGUGCUUGGUGAAUGUUUUGGAUCGCUUUACCGACCUCAACUCAGGU